UCCAGGCCCCGGGCGGAUCUGUAUCCGAUCGUGUUUAUCCCCGCAGGUAUGCGCCCACUGUCGGCGGGGACAUCGGCGAUCUGGAGAACAAGAUCAUCUCCCGACCAUGCAUGGCUUCAUGUUAACCCGGGAUCCCUGCUCCCGGGCUACCUUCCUGUAGAAUCCUCAGACUCACGGCAAGAUCAUCGAUCUUCCGUCUUUGGGACUCGAGAUCAAAGAUGACUUUCUCGUAGACUGCAAUUGCCUGCUCUCCAUCAAGGAAACUAUUCCAGACUGCAUCGUGCUCCUGGCUCAGCCUGACGGCCCCUUCAUAUGGUACUGUAAAGUGUAAAAAGUUUUAAUUUGUCUACAUCAGUCGAUCUGUAGUUUGCUGUCCGGGCUGCACCUAGCUUCAUAGAAAUUUCCUCCGUUCCUAUUAUUCUCAUGUGUGCCCUCUGCAUAUGUGUUGCCUAGUGAUUGCAAAUUUCUAAUUAAUAUUUGUAAAAUAUUAAUUUGCUUCUGGAACCUAGUUGGAUAGGGCUAAAUCUCUCGAUUUGUAGUGUGCCCUGCAGGUGCAACUAGCUGCAUAUAUAAUUUUCACCUGCCAAAAUGAUGUGCUUAAGUGGCUUAGCAUUUGUAUAUUGAGGUGGGCAUAAACAUACACAUUUAUCAUCAGUUUUAUACCAACUUUGCUGAUGCUACCUUUUCUUCAGUUAAGAUUUACCGAGUACUUUUCAGUAAUUUUUGGUCAAUCGUCCAUGCAUGUAUAUGAGUAAAGCAAUUCUAUGGCAUCUCUUUAUUUUUCGUUUCUAGCGACAUUACCUAAACUGUUCAGUUUUUGUUUACGCAGCUAAAUAAUUCAUACACUUCAGAAUGGUUUGUUGUUGUACUGAAGUUGAUGUUCCAUUAAGUCAUACACUGACAGCUGCAGUGAAGUUUUAUUUUUACCAAUAUCAAUCUAAUUUCUUCACAUUGUCUGCAGCAUUGUUCCAUUAAAGAAUGACUAUGUGAAAAUGCAAGUUAAUGAGGUUAAAUGUUUCUUUUUUCAGCUGAGAUGUUAAGAUGUUGAUUCUGCCUAGUAUCAAAAGAAUAGAUGAAUCGGGCGAAUCAGUCUAAGGCUAUUUCUGGAUGUACGAUGUGUUUCAUGUAUUAUUGGAUUACUAACUGGGUGAUAAUUUUUAAUGUCGUCCAUUAUUUAUGCUAGACUUGAUUUGUAUGGUAUUAUCCACAUGCCAACACCUGAAAGAAAGUUGUUGUUCACUGUAUUGCACUGUCUAUAUAUAGCAUCAGCCAGUUGAACAGUAGAGACAAAAAACUGGUCAAGGACACUCUUGAAUUUAUGCAGGCCAUUUAUAUAUUCAUUUAUGGGAGGCCAAUGUGGGUCUACCAUGAGUUCUAGCAACAAUCUGUCAUGUUGGGUCCCAUAGAUCAGCAAGACUUCUAUAUUCGGAUAUCAGCUUUGGACAUGUUAGGCAAAAUAUUGCAAGGAAUACAUAUAGAAUUAGGUAGAACAUUAUAAUUUGACGCAAGGUUGUAAAUUAUCUAUUAUUUAAACAAUUAAUAUGUAUU